rnacentral:rRNA from 1 species
UACGAAGGGUGCAAGCGUUACUCGGAAUUACUGGGCGUAAAGCGUGCGCAGACAGUUGCGUAAGUCAGAUGUGAAAGCCCCGGGCUCAACCUGGGAAUUGCAUUUGAGACUGCGUAGCUAGGGUGCGGAAGAGGGAAGCGGAAUUUCCGGUGUAGCGGUGAAAUGCGUAGAUAUCGGAAGGAACACCAGUGGCGAAAGCGGCUUCCUGGUCCAGCACCGACGUUCAGGCACGAAAGCGUGGGGAGCAAACAGG